rnacentral:misc_RNA from 1 species
GUGCUGCACAUCUGCUUCACGAGGAGCGUGCGCGUGCCAACCGCCGCACAAGUCUUCGCACCCGCAUACAUAGACGCGCAGUCACACAUCAGACACGCCUGCACGUAAGGCACUCACACCGUCACACUCGCUGCUGCGCGGCUUCCUUUACCAUCGCGCCUUUUUGCUCUCACGUUAGCGCUGUCUUGACCGCUCUCCCUGUCUGUCUGUCUUCCUCUCUCCCUCGCUGACGCCCUCGCCUCGCGGAGGACUUUGUGCUACGCAGCGGGCAUACCGUUGGCUAGCUAAGGUGAGGGCGCGUCAGAAAGGAGACACCGACGAGGGGAGGGAAGGGUGGAGGGGAAGAGCAGCACAUGGGCCGCCAUGCAUAUAGACGACUGCAUGUGUGAUUGAGUCUGCAUCAGUGUGUCUGUCUCGCUCUCUUCCCCCAACGUGAGUCUUCCCGCCUCGGCUGCCGCAAAAAAAAAAACAACAACCAAAGGCUUUGUUUUGUUCUUGUGAUUCGCUGCCCCGUGUGUGUGUGUCUGUCUCGCCAUCUCUCUGCGCUCCGUGGGCCCUUUCUACUCCGUGGCCCUCACCUGAUCCCGUCGCUUAGCGCGGCUAUCAGCUGCCACCCCCUCUCUCUUCCUCUCUCGCACCCUCCUGAGCAGGCGUAUCGACCAUGCUUGAGCAAACUUAUCCCUCAGCCUGGACAGCGCCGUCGUCGCCGCCGCCGCCGCCAAUGGCAGUCUCUCGCUCCCUUUCGGGGGUUCACACAACGGCGACAACAGUGGCGAGCGCCUCCUUGCCUUCCACAAUCGGCACCACCGCGCAGUCCUACACGCUCGCCGACGCCGGUCACGGAACUCUAGGCAGCGUCCUUGGCGGCGUUCAUGACAUCAGUGCCAGUCGGUCUCCCCCUGCGACAGCGACGGCCGAGGAUGCCGGCGCCGCGUCUCUUGUCUCACGCCUGCGCGCAGAAGCUGCGUCUCGAAAGAUGCCGCGGCUACUGCGGUGCCACGCGAUGACACCGAUGCUUCUCUCCUCCGGCGAGCUGAUGACGUGGGAGCAGCCCGUUCUGUCGGCGGCGUCUUCCCUGCCCGCUGCGACGGCAGCGACGGCAACAUCGGUCGUCAGCCCCCCCACACCCAACGCUGUGCCUCCUGCAAGCUUCUUCCAGACUCCGCCUCCUCCUACGCCACCACCACCUGUACCACAGCAGCAGACACAGCAGCGUGAGCUGAGGCUGCUGCGAUGUGUCCGGCGCAGCGGUGUGCCGCUCAUCGAGCAGUUGCAGCAGCGGUGCCGCACCGCCACGGGACUCACGCAGCACCUCGUGGCGCCGCAACGCUCACCACGUGCCUCAGGCGACUCUGCUGAGUCGCCAUCACACGCGGCGGCGGCGGUUGUAAUGCGGCAGCCGUGCGACUCACUCUCGGCGCCUCUGUCGCCUAUUUCCUUUCCAUUUGGAGGUCAUUCAGGGCCGGCGUCGAUGCUGGGGCUGCACUCGUCUGCCGAGUUACUGUCCCCGGGGACGCGUCAGUUACACUGGUCCAAGCGAGGGAGGGUGCUUGCGGCUCCCCGCGCCAGCAGCGACGCGGAUGACCGACAGAGCCCCAGUGCUCGCGAAAGUGGGCUGCUCGGCAGCGUCCGUGGCGGACAGCAAGAGGAGAGCCACAGCAGCGCCCCUGGAACCCGCGUGAGUCUCAGAGAACCGAGCGAGCUUAGCAGAGAUGACCACGACAGAGGCAUGGGCACUGAAGAUGGUGCAUUGCAUCGCGUAAGUCUCUCAACCCCGCUUCUCUUCCUGGCUCCGUCUUCUCCCUCCGCGGAUGCCGACGCCGCCGCGUCGUCGGUUGCGAGCACAGCUGGAACAGCAUUGGCUCAUUCAACUACCGAGCCGGCGCACGACACGUGCAACUUGCCCCGCUCUUACUCACGACCCUCCGGCACUCGUUACCAUCUCCAAACGCCUCGAAAGGGGCAUACUGACGUUGCCCCAUCUCACUUGGUGGAUCACCCCUUGGUGAGCCGCCCGCUGCCCUUAUCGUCGGCUGAGGCCGCACAGGGCCUACUCUGCCCGCCCCGCAACGGACGUGCUUCUGCCACCGCUACUGCGCCUCACGCUCGGGACAGCCGCCCUCUCACCUUUCACAGCCACGAGGGCGGCGUGCCGAGUCUGUCGCCGUCACGCUGGCCUUCCACGUUGCAAGCGCACUCAUCUAUUUCGUUGCCUUCCUCGGCAGCAGGAGCAGCGGCAGUCCCGUUGAUGAGCAGCGCACAGCCAGGCCCCUCUCCGACCAUGUCACAGCAGCAACAGCAGCAGCAACACUCGCUUCUAUUCGCCGUUCUCCCUACCAUGUCGGUGAUUCCUUCAUCGCGGAGCAUGCCAGGGGCGACUACUGAGAUGCCCGCAGCUGGGGGAAGUGACUCUUCUACACCGCCGCUGGUGUUCACCGCGAUCGAGCCCGCCGCCGCGGACAUGCGUUCCACUAGCGGCGCCCAGUACCUCUCCCAAGAGAUGCAGCCGGCCUCCAGGUCGUCCUCUACAGCCAGCGUGUUUCCACAUCUAGCGCACGGUAACGGUCGCGGCGGAAGCCCAGCGCGUGCGUUCAUGCUCCAGCAGCACCCUUUCUCCGAGCCUGUGGUAGCCACAUCCGCGCUUGCCACGUCGUUGCUGCCAUCUCGCACCGCUACACCGCCAGGCAUCGCGGGCAGCUUGCACGAUCGCAUCGCGCAUGUCGACCCUUCUGCCACGACACCUCGGGGCACGUCGGACGCCGCUGUGGUGGGCAGUGAUAGGCCCCGCUGCGCUCAUCCGCCUCACAGUCAUCCACCAAAAGGGGCGGUGGUCGCAGCGGCGGCCGUAGCCUCUGCAGCGGCGUCGCCGUCUCGCUCCUCCGUUUUGCGGCAUCAGCAACCGCCUCCGUUGCUCUUGAAGCCGGCAGAGGGGCACCAUCGACCAGGGAUGCCACCACCGCUGCCUUCCCUCCCAGCUAUGUCGCAUGCCUGCGAGACACCGUCACGCCGCCAACAGCGACCGCCGGCAGAGCGGCGCUGUGUCACGACAGGUGGGCACGCCAGACAGCCAGAGACGGCGGUGGGCGGAACGGUGAGGGCGGCCGCAGAGAUGAUGGUGGUGCCGUCCGCGGACAUGGCAAUGCUGCUCGUGGUGCCUGGAGGUGUAUCCUCGGUGCCGGCCGCCUCCAUUGCUGCCAUGACUGGCUCCUCUGGGGACGCGCCAAGCUGGGGCAGUGAUACCCAUGCCGAUGCUGCCCUAGCCCUCAUCGAGGACGUCGUGGAAGGGGGCUCCAGCGAGGAGGGGCGGCUCGUAGCACCUGGUCGGCGCGUGGGCGGCGACGAUGGCGGCGCAGGAUCAGCCGAGACCGCCACCGAGAAGGUGGUUACCUACUUCCCGAUUCAGAAGUCCGUAUUGGCGCAGCGCAGCGCCUACUUUGCUGCCCUUCUUGACGAGGGCAGCGGCUGCGGCCCAUAUGUGCGCAGCACCCCGGACGAGUACGUGGAUCUCACAAGCCUGCUGCCACUGCCGACAAUAGCGGAACCAGCAGAGGCGCGGGAUGCCCAUCUGUGCAGGGCUGGUGGCGCGGGCGGGCCAUGCCCCAUGACGGCGAGGAUACUGCACGUGUGGCGCCGCCCAGAUCACCUCCGCAGAGGCCCCGCGGCUGCCAAAGCUUCUGAAGAUGCCGAGCCUGCCCGUUCCGUGGCGACGGCCCACCGCCAGCGCGUUCCCGUGUACUACAUCCCAACCCCGGAGACGGUGGCGUGCUUCACGGACGAUAGCAGCGGUGCCCGCCUCGGCCGCAGUGGCGCGCACUCUCGCAUCGGCACUGGUGACCCUGCGGCGGCUUCCACUGCGCCGACCCUCUCGCACGCUUGUGUAUGCCAGCUGCUUCACUACUUGCACACCGGCGUGCUCCCCAUCUUCUAUCAGCUGCCAGGGAGGACAGAAGUCACUGAGAGGGAGUCGACUGCUGCCGCCGGGAUCGCCAGCCUGCAGUCCGACGCCCUUCGCAAUGGCUUCGCUAACGACUACGCGGCAGUGCUGUGGAUGGGGCUCUAUACCGGCCUCUCCUCCCUCACCUCGUCGAUGCUUAAGCUACUCUGGCAUUUUUUGGCGCUUUCGCGCGACGUGUGGCCGUACUGGAUCGCAGCAGCGCAUUGGCGCGUGCCGGAGAUGCAGUUCAUCUGCGAGGCAUGGAUAGAGCAGCAUCUGUGCGCAAUGCUGCGAGCAUCAACGGCGCAGGGGCUGUGGCGUGGACUGGGUCUCGAUCAGGUGCAGAUGCUAGUGAGUCUGCGCAAGAAAGCACUUGAUGCGGAGGCGGAGGCGCGGGCCGCGCAGGCGAGCCCGAUGUCAAGUAACGCGUCGCCUCGCUAUUUGCGCGGGCGCACCACCACCGUCGGUGGCGCUGCUGCGGAAGCGUCGAUGAGCACCACCACCACCACGAUGCCGUCGUUUCUGCGGGAGCAGAUGAACGACAGCGACGCCGCAAGCAGCGUUGACGAUAGCGGGUCGGUAAGCGAGGAGGCGGCAGAGCAGCUCCGUGCGCAGUUCUCGCUGAGACCUCCAGCGCCUCCCGUUGCUACCAUCGGGUGGCCAGCUGAGGUGCUGAGGUACCAACAGCCGCACCCUCUGCGCCUCCGCGGCGGCAGUGGCAGUGGCAGUGGCGUUGGUACACCGAGCUUCUCGUCCUUGCAACCUGGUGCUGGUCGGGUUUCUUCUGUUGACAAUCCCCGAGUAUCACCGACUACCGAGGUCGUUCCAGUCCUGAGCCGAGACGCGGAAGCAUCUCCCUCUCGCCCUCCUCUGGAGUCGCCGUCCCCGUUCGCCUUGCCAACGCCGCCGUCCGCGCUCGCUAUUCCGCCUGCGCUCGCUACGCCGCUGGCUUUCGACGGUGUCUCAUCCCCGGGUGCGAUGGCUGGAGUCGCCAGCGCCCCUUUCAGCCGCCAAAGCAGUCGCGCCAGCACGCCCCUCUUCGCCUCCAGCGCCGCUGCGGCCGUGCGGCGCUUUCGGGGCUUCAGUGGUCGCCCCGCUGCUCUCAGGGUGGCGACAACAACGGCUACGCCUGGCAUCCCGUCGUCCGCGGCACUGACGUUCGACGACUUGAGCGGCGCGGACGGCGCACAGGCGGCCGAGGGCGCUGGCAACACGGCGGCGAUCGCCGGGGGCGCUCGAGGACACCGAACGGACCUAGGAGGCGGAGGAGAGAGCGGCGCAAUGAUGAGCGGCGCUGGACUGACUAGUCGCAUGGAAACGCCUUCUGCAGCCAACACUGCCGUCGCUUUUCGAACGCUGGUAACCACCGGAGACGCUGCCGUUCCCCGGUCGGAGGCAGCCGAUUUGCCCACGCUUGCGCAGGCCAACAUCCCUGCCCGCGCCAACGCUGAGAUGUCGCGCACCACGCCGUUCCGAUCUCCGCUAACCACACGCGGCGUCCAUGAUCUUUUCAACGACUCUCGCGCCGAGCCGCGCAGUCCGUCGCGGCUGCACGUUGCGUACCCGCCGAUUACCUCUGCCAACGCCUACUACACCACUCCACCCAAUGGGGUGGCGAUACAGCCCACGCUGCAGGUACUCGCAGACGGAGCCUGGGCCAUCGGCGGCUGCGGCCGGCUUUACACAGCUGAGACACGCGAAGAGCUGGAUAAGCGACAGGCCUACUGGUACCGCGCUGAGUGGGAGCAGCAACAGCAGCUUCCGUCGGCGGCACUCUUGACAGAAACUGAAGUGCUGGAGCGUCUCUGGACGUGGUGGCGGGCUCGCACUGAGGACUCAUCGAAUCAGCCGACCGAGAUGGAGGUGCGCGCGGUGGUUGAGAUGCUGCAGAAGGUUCGCCUCAGUGGCGCACAAGCUUCGCUGCCGUGCACGUCCUCGCGCGAUGACUCGGCGUACGACGGCUUCAGGGCACUCUUGGACGAAGAGCAACGUUGCCCGGUCGCAAGUAAAGUGGGUCUGCCCAACGCUGCUGCUGCUACGGUGCAGCCGCCACUCUAGGGCGUGUGCGCGUGUGCGCACACACGUGCGAGGAUGAGUCAUGCGCCUCACACGACUCCGGACUGCCGCACGGGCCUCUCCGUCUUACUCUUUUUUCUUUCGCUUGCUUUACUUCACAAGCAUAGCCGUGAUUGUGUGUGUGUGUUUGUGUGCGCUGCUCCUUCUCUCGCUCUCUCAGUCUGUUGCGCCCUUUCCUUCGGCAUGCAUCAUGGAUGGCGAUGCUGCUGAACACACACACGCACACACAACGGCAACAUCUCUUCACUACUUUCUCUUGCUCCUCGUUGUGCUUCUUCACCACCCACCACUGCCUGUCAGUGUCGAUAUGCGUGUAUAUAUCCCGGAAGUGUGUGUGUGUGUGCUUGUGAUGGGGCUGCCAUGCGUACGUGUUGCGCUGAGGGGUAUUGCACAAACGAUGCCGCUGCUGCAGGGGAGAGUAGUCAGGCGGAAGGUGCGGCGGUAAAGAAGGAUCGGGCGGAGACGGACAUGCGCGUCCACUGAAGUUGAGUGGUGAUGAGGGGUGAGAGCCUCACUCAUGCGCUUACCGAGCACAGAGAGCCGUCUCGGAUCCAUGCAAUGUUCACCUCAUCAUCGGAAGGAUCUCAGACGGCGGCGAGGGGGCGGCAAUGGCCUGCUCAACCUCUGCCCCUCUUCUCUGUCAUGCAGCGUGCGGUCCAACUGCAUCCGGCCUUCUCACAGGCCUCAUCCGCCUGGCUUUCGCCCACAGGGAAAGAG